ensembl:lncRNA
AUUUAUCCCAUUUCCCCUAAAAUAUUAGCUGAAAGGGAAAAAUGCUGUCCUGCCGAGCUCACUGCUGCGGGGUGUUGGUGAGGGGAAUCUCUCCCACCUACAAAGUGCCUUGAACUUUGUAUUGGGAGCAUGAAACGUGCGUUACAAGUGCAUUCCCAGGGGCUCCCCUUGGCCUUUGCCCCUCAGUGCCUAUGGGCAAGCAAAAGGCACCAGGGCCUGCUUAGAAAUAUCCCCCUUGAGAAGGCAAAGGAUCUUCACAUUGAGAGAGUCCCCAGUAACCAGCUGUGCCUUAAACAGACCGAGUUCAAACCUGUACUACAGACAGCUUUAUUGUGUUUUAUUCCACUGGUGUGAUUUAUUUCUGUUGCGUAUAGUUAGGUUUCUUGAUUUUAUAUUAUUGCCAUCAUCUCUUUUCUAUCAAGAAGUGAACUAAAUGUUUCCUGCUGCUGCCUGAUACAGAUGGGUUUUCUUAGAUCUGAGAAGUUGCAUGUAAUCAGCAGCCAAGGCAGUGCAGUUACCAGGUGAAGGUAAUGUGAGAUGGAGAGCAGCUGAGGGAAAUGGGAUGGCUCAGUCUGGAGAAGAGGAGGCUCAGAGGAGACCUCACUGAUCUCUACAGGUCUGUGAAAGCAGUUUGUGACAAGGUUGGGGUCAGCCUUCUCUCCAAGGUAACAGUGAUAGGAUGAGACGUGGUGGCCUCAAUUUGUGCCAGGGAAGGUUUGGGUUGGGUGUUAGGAAAAGUUUUUUCUCCCAAGGAGUGGUGAUGCAGUGGCACAGGGCUGCCCAGGGAGGUGGUGGUCACCGUCCCUGGAGGUGUUCCAGAAUGUUGGACAUGUGGCACUGAGGGAUGUGGUUAUGGGCAUGGUGGGGUGGGUUGGGCUUGGUGAUCUUUAGUGGUCUUUUCCAGCCUUAAUGAUUCUAUUGCUCUCCCUGCUUGCGUACAGCUGUGGGCAUGUCUGUGCCAGACAUCCCCAUCUGAGUGCUUCUUAUGGCUCCAAGGGAGUAAAAUACGUAGAAAAUGAGUCAAAAUCAGAGUUAUGGAAGUUGUCAAGGCUGCCACCAUCAGCCCUGUAUCAUAGAAUCGUAGAAUGGACUGAAUUGGAAGGGACCCUUAAAGGCCACCUGGUUCAACUCUCUGCAGUGAACAGGGGCACCCACAGCUCCAUCCGAUGCUCAGAACCCCGUCCAGCCUGACCUUGGGUGUCUCGAAAGAUGGGGCACCCAACACCUCUCUGGGCAACCUGUGCCAGUGCCUCGCUGCCCUUAUCAUACAAAACAUCUUCCUUAUAUCCAGCCUAAAUCUCCCUUUUUUUUUUUAGUUUGAAACAGUUUCCCCUUGUCCUAUCACAACAGACCCUGCUACAGAGGCUUUUCCUUCUUUCUUACAGCCUGUGCUUGCAGCACUGGUUGUUGCUAGGUGGAAGUGGUGUCAGCCCAGAGUCAUCCUGCCCAAGAUCCCCUCAUGUUUGCAGGGGUGCAUCCCUGAGAUGGAGCACUCCAGGCCACCUCCUGGCAUCGUGCUCCUGAGCCUUUAAUCAUCCACAGCAUUGGCAAACUGUUUCCUCGAGGAGACAAUUGAUAAAGCUGAUGAAAAGGGAUCUAAAUUCCUCAUCAGGCUCAAGCUCUGAAAAGCUGGAUUUCCGCAGCACAGCGCAAAGUGCAGCCAUAUGAAAGACCAUCUGAUCCCAGCCUCUGGAAGCCCUUCCUGCUGGAAAGCAGCAGUCCCUGUAUGAACUACGAGCACGGUUGAGUCGGAAGUCGCCUUCAUAACAGCUUUGAUGUUUCAACGCUUUUUACAGGAGAUGGGAUUUGAUAACCUGCUUCCUGACCUGUGGAUAGAGAGCAGAAUGAAACCCAAAUUCUUGAGAGAGUAACCAAACACCUCUGGGAAGAGCUGCAGAACAGUCGGGCUGAUUUGUAGGGCCGUGGGUUUGCCAGGAAACCUCCCUGAGCUAUUACUUUAAAUUGCCACUAAGUGGCAGCCAAGUAAAAAUUAUGGUAAAAUGAAACUUUCCCAAAUAAAUAUUUCAUCUAACGUCAGCGCAAGGUGCAGCAGCAUCAACAGAAUUCCUGAGCCCUGUGGUGCCCGGGAAGCUACACCAAGGGAGGAGAUGGCAAUAAGAGGGAUCUGUGGGAAUCCAUGUGGGUUUUCCUUGGGAGGAGCACAGUGUGCAGCAUGGUGUGCUUCCUGACUUGUUACAGAACCACAGAAUCAUUCAGGCUGGAAAAGACCUCUAAGACCCCCAAGUCCAGCCCCAGCCCACCCCACCAUGCCCAU